ACAUCCGCCAUCACGCAACAUCACGCAUUCGAUAGGGCAUUAAAAGCUUUAUUGUGCGCGUGAUACAAGGUAUCACGCAUGCAAUUGUCACUUUUAUGGGUCUUUUUCUGAUGCAUUCUGUUCCAUCGUGACACCUUUAAAAAGGGAAGUUCUGCACUUUUACAUGGGUUAUGAAAUCUUGCACUAGGAACACGAUUUUA
rnacentral:lncRNA from 1 species